UCUCAAACACCAAAAAUACAAAUGAGUCCACCGAAAAUACAAAUAAGUCCACGAAAACUCAUAAAAUUACAUAAUCUUAAGUCAUUAAGGUAUUUGUGGCCCAUAUCUUCCAUACUUUCAAUUUGGGUUUCUGGCAGGAAGCCCUGAGGCAUCCAUAGUAAGACAACUUCCAUCUCUUUGAACUUGUAAUCUUUUGGAAACACAGAACAAUAAGCAAAGACACGCUUCAAAUGAUAUGGCAUAUGAUGGUAACUCAGCCUGAGAACAGGGAGAAAAGUAAAAUUAGCAAGGUAGCAGCACAAACCAUAUUGUCUAGAAUCCCUUGGUGAGAGUGAUCAUCUUGAUCUUGAUCUUCCUCCGCCUUUUCCAACUCGUAACGCUGGGCUUCAAUUGCGAAAUGAUCCAAGAUAUCCUCCAUGUCGUAAGCUAAAUCUUGGAGAUCAUUUAGCCAUAACUUGACAGGUUUGCUGUGAAACUGCUGCAGCUCAGCAUCCUCCAACAGAGCUUCCAACACAGUAAGUUGCGUUUUCCAUUUAUUGAUAGUUUUGGGCAGAUCAAAUCCGCCAAUCAGCUUCAAGAACUUCUUCCCUCCAGUUUACAGCAUCUGCUCAAACAACACCUGCAGAAAUGCUGACAGAAAUGUCUCACCAAUGGCCAUCCUUGAUCAAAUCAGCUACUCAGAUAUGAGAAUUUGUUUAUUUUGUGCUCUAGGUGUAAUAGAGUUGGCCAUAAGCAGAUACUUUCUCUUUGAAUCCUUAUAUGUCUGUUCCUUUUUUGGUUGACAAGAGUGGGUUAUGUAAGUCUGCUAUAUUGCUUGCCCAGAAUCUCUCAAACAUGAAUAUUGGCCUAAAGAGAACUGAAAAAUUUAGAACAACCACAGUGAAUCUCAAGAGUUUUUUCAAAACCAUCGACCCACCUCAACCCCAGAACAUUCAAUCCAACAAAAGACCCCGUGAGUUUGCUACUCCAUCCUUCUCACCUUUGAAAAGGAGGAAAUCACAAUCGGAACCAACAGUACACAUUUAACCUUGCUCCAAAUGAAUCGAGCCAAACACCAAUCCAACCCAAUUUCUCAAUCCACAAAAAACCCCUACACGCUCCGAAACAGAACCAACAUUGCCCUGACUCCUUUCAACCACUCCAAAACCCCCUCCAAUCCAAAACACCACCCAGCCACCCCGAAAACCCAUCUCCACUCUCGGUGACCCUACCAGCCACCACGAAAACCCCAUCUCCACUCCCGACAACCCCAUCAACAUUCACAAUUUUCCAUCCAGCCAUCCCAAAAACCCCAGCUCACCACCCCAACCCACCCCACCCCACCCCACUGCCACCCCUUAACCCUUAACCCCCACACACCAGAACCGUACCACCGUAACCCCACCAUAACCCCACCCCAACCCACCCUACCACACAAAUUUUCGCACUAAAUUAAUCUUAAUAAUCAUAAUAAACACAAAAUUUUGAACUAAAUUUCGCACUUGAACCCUAAACCCUAAACUUCUUAAUUCUAAUGAACCCUAAACUCAAAAAAACCAAAAAAAAAAAA